CGAAGGUUAACCAGUGAUGGAAGCCGAGCGAAAGCGAGUCUGAAUAGGGCGUUUAGUCGCGUGCUGUAGACCCGAGCCGAGUGAUCUAUCCAUGGGCAGGUUGAAGCGAGGGUAAGACCUCGUGGAGGACCGAACCCACCUAGGUUAAAAACUGGGGGGAUGACCUGUGGAUAGGGGGUGAAAGGCCAAAUCAAACUCGGUGAUAGCUGGUUCUCCCCGAAAUGCAUUUAGGUGCAGCGUCGUUUGUUCAGUCAUGGGGGUAGAGCACUGGAUGGGUUAGGGGGCCUACAAGCUUACCGACCCCAACCAAACUCCGAAUACCAUGACUCCAGAGAACGGCAGUGAGACUGCGGGGGAUGAGCUUCGCAGUCGAAAGGGAAACAGCCCAGACCGCCGGCUAAGGCCCCAAAUUCUAGACUAAGUGGAAAACGAUGUGAGAUUGCCCAGACAGCCAGGAGGUUGGCUUAGAAGCAGCCACCCUUGAAAGAGUGCGUAACAGCUCACUGGUCGAGUGAUCUUGCGCGGAUAAUGUAACGG
rnacentral:rRNA from 1 species